rnacentral:rRNA from 1 species
CCUACGGUGGACUGCAGUGGGGAAUAUUGGGCAAUGGGCGCAAGCCUGACCCAGCAACGCCGCGUGAAGGAAGAAGGCUUUCGGGUUGUAAACUUCUUUUCUGCGGGACGAAGAAAGUGACGGUACCUCAGGAAUAAGCCACGGCUAACUACGUGCCAGCAGCCGCGGUAAUACGUAGGUGGCAAGCGUUAUCCGGAUUUCUUGGGUGUAAAGGGCGUGUAGGCGGGAAAGCAAGUCAGAUGUGAAAACUCAGGGCUCAACCCUGAGCCUGCAUUUGAAACUGUUGUUCUUGAGUGCUGGAGAGGCAAGCGGAAUGCGGGGUGUAGCGGUGAAAUGCGUAGAUAUACGGAGGAACACCAGUGGCGAAGGCGGAUUGCUGGACAGUAACUGACGCUGAGGCGCGAAAGCGUGGGGAGCAAACAGGAUUAGAUACCCGGGUAGUC